UGAGGAAUAUUGGUCAAUGGGCGGGAGCCUGAACCAGCCAAGUAGCGUGAAGGACGACGGCCCUACGGGUUGUAAACUUCUUUUAUAAGGGAAUAAAGUUCGCCACGUGUGGUGUUUUGUAUGUACCUUAUGAAUAAGCAUCGGCUAAUUCCGUGCCAGCAGCCGCGGUAAUACGGAAGAUGCGAGCGUUAUCCGGAUUUAUUGGGUUUAAAGGGAGCGUAGGCGGGCUUUUAAGUCAGCGGUCAAAUGUCGUGGCUCAACCAUGUCAAGCCGUUGAAACUGUAAGCCUUGAGUCUGCACAGGGCACAUGGAAUUCGUGGUGUAGCGGUGAAAUGCUUAGAUAUCACGAAGAACUCCGAUCGCGAAGGCAUUGUGCCGGGGCAUAACUGACGCUGAGGCUCGAAAGUGCGGGUAUCAAACAGGAUUAGAUACCCUGGUAGUCCGCACGGUAAACGAUGAAUGCUCGCUAUGGGCGAUAUAUUGUCCGUGGCCAAGCGAAAGCGUUAAGCAUUCCACCUGGGGAGUACGCCGGCAACGGUGAAACUCAAAGGAAUUGACGGGGGCCCGCACAAGCGGAGGAACAUGUGGUUUAAUUCGAUGAUACGCGAGGAACCUUACCCGGGCUUGAAUUGCAGGUGCAUGAGUCAGAGACGGCUCUUUCCUUCGGGACUCCUGUGAAGGUGCUGCAUGGUUGUCGUCAGCUCGUGCCGUGAGGUGUCGGCUUAAGUGCCAUAACGAGCGCAACCCUUCUCCCCAGUUGCCAUCGGGUAAUGCCGGGCCCUCUGGGGACACUGCCAUCGUAAGAUGCGAGGAAGGUGGGGAUGACGUCAAAUCAGCACGGCCCUUACGUCCGGGGCCACACACGUGUUACAAUGGGGGGUACAGAGGGCCGCUGUCCGGUGACGGUCGGCCAAUCCCUAAAACCCCUCUCAGUUCGGACUGGAGUCUGCAACCCGACUCCACGAAGCUGGAUUCGCUAGUAAUCGCGCAUCAGCCAUGGCGCGGUGAAUACGUUCCC
rnacentral:rRNA from 1 species